UACAGAGGGGGCAAGCGUUAUUCGGAAUUAUUGGGCGUAAAGGGCGCGUAGGCGGCUUUUCAAGUGGCGGGUGAAAUCCCUCGGCUUAACCGAGGAACUGCCUGCCAGACUGGAUGGCUUGAGACCGGGAGAGCUGAGUGGAAUUCCCAGUGUAGCGGUGAAAUGCGUAGAUAUUGGGAGGAACACCAGUGGCGAAGGCGGCUCACUGGACCGGUACUGACGCUGAGGCGCGAAAGCGUGGGGAGCAAACAGG
rnacentral:rRNA from 1 species